rnacentral:rRNA from 1 species
UACGUAGGGUGCAAGCGUUGUCCGGAUUUAUUGGGCGUAAAGAGCGUGUAGGCGGCCAUGUAGGUCCGUUGUGAAAACUCGAGGCUCAACCUCGAGACGCCGAUGGAAACCAUGCGGCUAGAGUCCGGAAGAGGAGAGUGGAAUUCCUGGUGUAGCGGUGAAAUGCGCAGAUAUCAGGAAGAACACCCGUGGCUAAGGCGGCUCUCUAGUACGGUACUGACGCUGAGACGCGAAAGCGUGGGGAGCGAACAGG